rnacentral:lncRNA from 1 species
CCGAGGCGGGUGGAUCACGAGGUCAGGUGAUCGAGACCAUCCUGACUAACACAGUGAAACCCUGUCUCUACUAAAAAUAAAAAUUAGCUGGGCGUGGGGGCGGGCACCUGUAGUCCCAGCUACUCGGGAGGCUGAGGUGGAAGAAUGGUGUGAACUCGGGGGGUGGAGCUUGCAGUAAGCUGAGAUCGCACCACUGCACUCCAGCCUGGGCGACAGAGCAAGACUCUGUCUCGAAAAAAAAAAAAAGAAAUAGGACUGGAGGAAGAUGCUUUACAUUAUCAAGGGUGGUUGUCUCUGUUUGAUGGAUUCAUAGGGAUUUUUUCCUCCCUUCUACUUUUAUUUUUUAAAAAUUUUUAUAGUGGACUUUUACCAGUUAUAUAAUGAAGGAAAAAUAAAUAAUUCUUUAAAAUAUUUCUGCUGCCAUUAACGCUUCCCUGCAUGUUACAGGUAGCAACGUGUACUCAGUAUGUUUGGUGUCUCACAAGCAUCCAGUUGAACACUGGAGCCAUGGAGAGAGCUCAGUCUCACACCUAAGAAGGUACCCAGACAAUUUUGGUGCUCUCAAAAAAGCUUUCUAUAAGGGUUUAUCAGUGAGCCUAAAACAUAGAAAAAGAUCAUACAGAUUUCAGCAUAAGGAACUUCAGAAUCAAAAUGGAGUCACUAAUAUUAAAAAAACAAAACCAAAAACCUUUGACAAACAGACAGGGAAGGCCAUGAAGAGAGGGUUCUCACGCUUGAAUGCCUGAUAACACAACUAUCACAAAGGACUCUAAAAACCUACGCUCUUGCACAAAGGCCAUCACAGCCUUACACAACAAAAUACUUGUGCAAGGACAUCUACCCAGGAACUCCCCAUCCAACCUCACACUGACAUCACCUUCGUUAUUGAUCUUUUUGCCAAAAAUAAUUAUUUCAAAGGAAUUAUGUAAUCCUCUUUACUUUUUCCUUUAAAAAUCUUAGUGUUAUUUCACCUCCCUGAAUGUGCACAUAGCUUGCCAUGGCAUGCGUAUUUUCAUUGCAAUGCCCUAUUUCCAAAUAUAUAUAUCUUUUAGAGAGCCUCUCUGUGCUUAUUAUUAAGGCUGGUAGCCUUUACACAUAAACCCUCCCUUCUUCACACAAUGAGCUGGGAAAUUAUUAAAAUGAGUAAUUCACUAUUGAAAAGCGUCAUCAAAGAAAAAGACAGUCAUAUUGAACAAAGGACAACUCCCAUGAUGAAGGCGUGUCCAGCGGCCUGCACUCAGGGAUGGCGCUUUUCGGUUUCAUCUCACGUGUAUGUCUCCUCUCCUUUCCACAAAGGUCUGGGGACAAGCACUGAUCUUGAAUCAUUUCCACAGGUUCUCUGAAUGUUGGUGAGACUGAGCUGAGCAGUACCUGCACAGUGUGCAGCUGUAAUGAAGCACUUGCCCUGGAAUCCUUCUUGCAAAUUUCUGUUGAUGCCCUCCCUGAGCUGUUGGUACAGAAACAACUUGAAACAGGUAUUAACCUUCCUUACCAAUGAAAGUUUAGUUACAAAGUCUCUUGCUCCAAAAAAGAGGUAGUUCUUUGCAACUUAUGUUUCAAAUAAUUUCAGUGUCAUUUUCUAAAGAAAGAUUCUGCGCUAGGACAAGACAGCUUGGAUGGUCUUUUCCAAGGGAUUAACCGAGGAAAGUUUCCCCCAAAUAAAUCUCGGUGGAGCAGAGUUCCUGCCUCCCUGCCCUGCCCCACUUCUUCCCCAGUGGACCCCGCCUCCCUGAAACGGCCAGUGCACACUCGGGCCCCAGUCCUGCCCUCCUUUCUCAGUGGCUCUGGAGUGUGAGUGUGAAGCUGGUGACAGAACACGCAGCCCAGGCCAGUCCCUGCUCCUGGCGGACGGGCAAGCUUACCUGGGCCAUCUGGGUUGCGGUGUUUCCCUUUGCCCCUAGGAGAACCAUGGCCAGGGCAGAGGAGAUGCUCACAGGAGAACAGAACACGUUGUGCGAAGGGUUAUCUUGACACAGUAUCUUUAAAAGGCGUAUGGCAAAAGUACCACUUGCAUUAGAAAGAGUUUCCAUGAUGCAGGGCCUGGAAGGGAAGAAUAAAGAGAAAUGCAGUUUCCACACUCCCUGAAUGUUACUG